rnacentral:rRNA from 1 species
AACGAACGCUGGCGGCAUGCUUAACACAUGCAAGUCGAACGAGACGUCCGGGCCUAGGGGCGCACGGGUACGUAAGGAGUGGUAAGUAGCCCUUAGGUUCGGAAUAACUCACUGUAGGGGGUGUUAAUACCGGUUAAGCUCAUCGCACCAAAGAUCUAUCGCCUUUGGAUGGGCCCGUGUUGGAUUAGCUAGUUGGUAGGGUAAAAGCCUACCAAGGCGAGGUUGCAUAGCUGGUCGGGGAGGAUGAUCAGCCACAAUGGAAAUACGACACGGCCCAGACUCGUACGCGAGGGAGGAGUGGGGAACAUUAUACGAUGGGGGAAAGCCUGAUCCAGCAGUGCCGGGUAAGUGAUGAAGGCCUUAGUAUUGUAAAGCUCUUUUACCCGAGGUGAUAAUGACAGUACCGGGAGAAUAAGCACCGGCUAACUCCGUG